GACAGAGGUGCCAAGCGUUAGGCGGAAUCACUGGGCUUAAAGCGUGUGUAGGUGGAUCGUUAAGUGCCUUGUGAAAUCCCACGGCUCAACCGUGGAACUGCUUGGCAUACUGGCGGUCUUGAGCCAUUCAGGGGCUACUGGAACAAACGGUGGAGCGGUGAAAUGCGUAGAUAUCGUCAAGAACACCUAUAGCGAAGGCAGCUUACUAGGCUGUAACUGACGCUGAGGCACGAAAGUGUGGGGAUCAAACAGG
rnacentral:rRNA from 1 species